rnacentral:misc_RNA from 1 species
UAAUAAGUGUUUUAUGGCACUUUUUAAAUCCAUAUCCACCUUGUGUGCAAUGUCAGUCGAUCUUCUUCAUGGAGAUCGACCAAACAUCAACCUUUAUCUUUUAACUCUUUGUCUUAAAAAUAUUAUGAAUAACAAUUCAAAAUA